GGGCGCUUGGUCUAGGGGUAUGAUUUGUAAGCAGGCCGUUAAAGCGUUGUCUAAAUGCUGUUCUAACAUGUCAAUAGUCGCUUCGCAUUAUCCAACGUGCGUAUUUGUGAAAGGUCGUGGGUUCAAUUCCCACAGCGUCCA